GUAAGGGAUGGCUGUAAGGGAAGGAGAAAGAGGCAGCUGAAGGUUCUUUCUGUUAGAGCUGGUUUCUCUGAAAAACACCGAAAGAAGACAAAAGGGAGAAAAGCAAUUCUGAAACAAAGAGCAAAAGGGAGAAGACAUUUCUCAUGCCAAGGCAUGGGAAGCUGAUGCAGAAUUGCAGUACCACGAGCAGCAGGAGCCCCUGAGGAUAAACACCAUGUGGCUGCUCAGAAAGGAGAGGAAUGACUGCCAUUUACCACCUUUCUCAAUUAAACAGUCCCACAAUUCAGGUAUGUAGCAAUAUGUUCAAG
rnacentral:lncRNA from 1 species